rnacentral:ncRNA from 2 species
UGACGCAUUUGUGGCGAUUUGUUACCGGAUUGCGGGCCACGUAAAAUAAACUGCUAAAAGGUCAGGAAGAAAGAGCC